AAAUUGAAGAGUUUGAUCAUGGCUCAGAUUGAACGCUGGCGGCAGGCCUAACACAUGCAAGUCGAACGGUAACAGGAAGCAGCUUGCUGCUUCGCUGACGAGUGGCGGACGGGUGAGUAAUGUCUGGGAAACUGCCUGAUGGAGGGGGAUAACUACUGGAAACGGUGGCUAAUACCGCAUAACGUCGCAAGACCAAAGAGGGGGACCUUCGGGCCUCUUGCCAUCAGAUGUGCCCAGAUGGGAUUAGCUUGUUGGUGAGGUAACGGCUCACCAAGGCGACGAUCCCUAGCUGGUCUGAGAGGAUGACCAGCCACACUGGAACUGAGACACGGUCCAGACUCCUACGGGAGGCAGCAGUGGGGAAUAUUGCACAAUGGGCGCAAGCCUGAUGCAGCCAUGCCGCGUGUAUGAAGAAGGCCUUCGGGUUGUAAAGUACUUUCAGCGGGGAGGAAGGUGUUGCGGUUAAUAACCGCAGCAAUUGACGUUACCCGCAGAAGAAGCACCGGCUAAC
rnacentral:rRNA from 1 species